rfam:Triticum aestivum genome assembly, contig: Triticum_aestivum_CS42_TGACv1_scaffold_501328_6BL
AAGCUACUCCAUCCGUCCCAAAAUUCUUGUCUUACAUUAAUCUAGAUACGGAUGUAUCUAUUAUCUAAUACUAAAACAUGAUUUGAUAUAUCCGUAUUUAGACAAAUCUAAAAUAAAAAUUUUGGGACGGAGGGAGUAUAUU